GAACGCGAAGUGAUUGGCUGACAAACUGUCGUUAAAAAUGGAGGUUUUAGUGGUGAAGAGAAAUAUUGACGAUAAUCUUGUUAUAACAUAAGUUUCUCUUUCGUAUAAUUGUCGAAAUGGAAAUUGUUAUGCAGAAGUACACGUGUAAUGUGUUAAAGGAAGUAAAUACUUGCUGCGAUUGUUUGUAAUAGCUAUUGGUAGCGUUCUUCAUUAAUGAAAGAACUAGCUACGCACAUGGAAUUAAAAAUUAUUGGUAACGUUCUUCAUUAAUGAAAGAACUAGCUACGCACAAGGAAUUAAAAAUAGUGCGUAUGGCGCCAUGAGUGAAGAAGCUCCGAACUACACCCAGAAUUCACUCCCCCUGCACCAUAACUGCAUGGUGUCCUUGCUGUGGAUGUCUUGUUAUUUGGGGAGCUGAAAUUAGGGUGGCAGAGUCAGUACUGGAGAGACACUCAGAAGGAAACACGGAAGGUAGUUCCAUUGUGCUGAAUGCUACAGCAGAAUUCUGCUGUACAUUGAGUGACAUCCCCAUUUAUGGUCUGGCUGGCAACAGGGAUGAGGACACCAGGAACUACUUGUGAGUGCAAUAUAACCAUCCGCAGAUAAGUGUACACUUGGCAAGGCACUUUGAUUUAGCAUGUGUCAAGACUAGAUACAGUCCAUUGCCCAUCUACAGUUAUUUACUGCAUCUGCAACAGAAUUAGAAUAUAUUUUAAUUACAGUUGAAUU